rnacentral:misc_RNA from 1 species
AAGACUAUAGACCUGCGGAGUACCUGCGGAAGGAUCAUUACCGAGUUAGGGUUCCUCUCACGGGCCCGACCUCCCAACCCUGUGUCUAUCACACCUUGUCGUUGCUUCGGUGGACCGGUUCGGGGACUUUUGUUUCUGGCCGCCGGGGGUGUUUUCCACCCCGGGAGAGCGUCCGCCGAUGGCCCAACCACAACUUCUUUGUUCUAAACCUGUCGUCUAAAUCAAACUUGAUAAUAAUCA